GCGGAUAUGGAUUAGGGGUAAAUCAUCUGCCUUCCAAGCAGAGGAUAUGGGUUCGAUUCCCGUUAUCCGCA
rnacentral:tRNA from 1 species